rnacentral:misc_RNA from 1 species
GAUGAAGAACGCAGCGAAAUGCGAUAAGUAAUGUGAAUUGCAGAAUUCAGUGAAUCAUCGAAUCUUUGAACGCACCUUGCGCUCCUUGGUAUUCCGAGGAGCAUGCCUGUUUGAGUGUCAUUAAAUUCUCAAUCAUUAUCAACUUUUGCUGAUAAUGGCUUGGAUGUGGGGGUCUAUUUUGCUGGCUUCUCAGAUAGUCAGCUCCCCUUAAAUGCAUUAGCCGGUGCCCCGCGUGGACUGUCUAUUGGUGUGAUAAUUAUCUACGCUAUAGACAUCUGCAAUCAUAUGGGUUUGCGCUGCUUCUAACAGUCUGUUGAUUCAGACAAUACAUGACAAUUUGACCUCAAAUCAGGUAGGACUACCCGCUGAACUUAAGCAUAUCAAUAAGCGGAGGA